rnacentral:piRNA from 1 species
UGAGCACAGUAGCUGGUAUGCUACCCUUUU